AACUUGCAAAGAUUGGAGAUCCAAGAACUCUGGAUGUGGACACUGAAUGCCAGCCCUUGGAUUCCCAGUGAAAGGUGUGGCCUGGAAAAGAGGUUUACAUUGAUAUGUUGCACGGUCUAAUCAAUAGACCCAGAAAAGGAAGAUAGAUCUCCGUGUCAGCAUGGAGGGAACAUGCAUGGGUUGCUGGAUUCUAGAUCAGGUAUGGAGGAAAAGCCAAGGAGAGAAAGCAGCCAUCCCUGUCACACGUUCUUGGUGUCAUUUUCCUGAUGCUGACUACGUAUCAGAUUAUCAUGACGUGAUGGAACAUCACAUUUUGGUAACCUACAACAUCCCAGACAUCAUGCUAAGUGAUCUGCAUGUACUUUCCAAUUAGACCUUCACAGCAAUCCUGUCAGGAAGCUACUGGAGAUGUAUCCAUAAAAAUAAGAGAUUAAAUCAAGAAUGAGAAAGCUGUGGAAUCCAGGAAAAAAAGGAAACAUAAAAAGAACUACACUGAGAUAAUAUUUUCCCCUGCUUAUCAGAUUGUCAAAGAUUAAAAAGCUCCCCACCAAUGGGAACACACUGAGAAAAGACCAAGUGAGGACAUAGUGAGAAGCUGACCAUCCGCAAGCCAGAAAGAGAGCUCUCUCAGGAACUGAGUCAGCAGCAAGCUGCAAUGAUGGAGAGUGCCACAUGGCAAGAAACUGGAGGACAUCCUCCAAUGUUACCUGGCAAGAGACUGGGACCACUACUACUACAGCCUACAAAGAACUGAGGGCUCUCAACAAUCAUGUGAACUUGGAAGAGGAUUUUUCCCCUGUCAAGCUUCAGAUGAGACCACAGCCUCAGAGAAUGUCCUGAAUAUCAAGGGAGAUCUCUUCCACCAUAUGAGGUUACAGCAAGAAGACGAACAUAUAUGAACCAGGAAAAGGGCUCUCACCAGACACUGAAUCUGCUGGUGCCUUGAUCUUGGAUUUCCAGCCUCUAAAACUCUGGCAAGCAGAGGAGCUAAAUUCAAGUCUGAAGACGGCUCUGUUUCUCCACCUCCAGUCAGUAAUGGGAAGCCUUGAGCCAUUCAUGACACACCAGUUGCCUGAAAAGAGGUGAGGGAAUCCUCCUAUGUCUAAUGCCAUAUCAAAUUGAAAAACUCCAGUUUCAACCCCACUUGCUUAAGUAUUCAAGUAUUUACUUGAAGCGACCCUUCAUUGUUCCGUGGAAUAUUGAAAAAGAAGGUGGGGGCCUUCCCUGGUGGCGCAGUGGUUGAGAGUCCGCCUGCUGAUGCAGGGGA